rnacentral:misc_RNA from 1 species
AAGUCGUAACAAGGUUUCCGUAGGUGAACCUGCGGAAGGAUCAUUAAAGAGUAAUGGGUGCUUCGGCGCCCGAACUCCCACCCUUUGUUGUCGCGAAUUUGUUGCCUCGGCGGGUUGCCCCUCUUCGGGGGGCGACGGGUCUCGGCCCACCCGCCGCAGGACAUCCACAACCCUGCUUUAACCAUAAAGUCUGAGUAAAUUCUAAAUGAAUCAAAACUUUCAACAACGGAUCUCUUGGUUCUG